UAAAAAAUGCUGGCCUAACAAUCUUUCAACUAUUUCCCACUCUGAAGAAAUUGUCAGCGAAAGAAGUAAUAAAUUUUGCCAAAACUUCAGUGUCCCUUUUUCCGUUCCCUUUAUUACAGACGCGGUGCAAGCUGUCAAUAUCAACGAUAUCGUCGGUGUAUGCGCCUAAUACGACCGGAAAUUCCGACAUUGUUUGAUCUGGUACACUAUUCGGACUCGUCCUGUUACUACUAAUUCACUUGGAUAGAUCUACAAUAAUUGACGUAUUUGCACCUUCUCCGACUGAUAUUGAAAAUAACGAAGCAGUGAAUACAAACAAGCAUAGAAAACAACGCAUCAGUGAAGUCAUGGAGACCCAGAGAAAUAGAAAACCCAAGACGAAAAAACAGCGAAUUCAUGGAGGUCGCGAAAAUAGCGAAAAUAUUCAUUUCGCGAAAACACCCGUUAUACAGUAUUUUGAAACAUUCUGUAUGAAGAACAUGAUAAUGCAUUGCACGAUAGUACAUGCUUAUGUUGGAAGCACUAUUUAAUUCUCAUACUUAGUUACUUGUUUAUUGUUUAUCUGAAGCUGCUACAUGAGCUUAAAAUAAUCACAAUUACCCUGAACAGGGAAAAAUCCAGUCUGAAUCGAAUUUAACGAUUUUGUUUGUAAUUUAGAAGUUAAUCUUAUUAUUGGCAAAAAGUCAUCAGCGGAUGUACCACUCAUUACAUAAAACUACUCAGAAAACUUUAAUAUUGGUGUCAAAUAGUCCUGUAAAAAAUAACAUCUCAAAUCUCAUUGAUAGGCAAAGUACUGAGAUAAUGAUUAUGAUUUACUCGUUUUUUGUUAUUGUUUUUUGUUUUACCCUGUAGAAGGACAACCAUCCUAUACAUAAAGACAUGCACAUGAUAAAGCUUUCUGACUGACUUUUCUGCUCUUUAUAGAGAAAAUCUAUUUUGCUACCUCAUUCAUCAUUUGUUAAUUUUCCGUUGGCACUAUCAGGACUGCGGGUGCUAACUCACAUUUAAAAAACGCCAAAGAUUGGGAAUGAAAGUUUUAAAAAGUGUACCUUUUUGUUAGUGCUUAUAUAGCAAAAGAAAGUGCAAAGCUAUAAAAUAUGUGGCAUGGAA